CUGGGACAGCUUAGGCAUCCUCCUCAGAAGGUCAGCUCCGAACUGAGAUCCCAAACCUCAUGAUGUGGGGGCCUUACUGCACCCAGCACAGUCCAGGGGUGAGUGUGAGGUGCUCCUGGACCACAUGUGCCAAGGGAGACCAAGGACAAGAACACUGAAGACAAGCACCCCGAGGACCAGUGUCCCGAGCAAGGGUUAGGGUUGGCACAUGCACCUCAAAAGCUCUCUGUGACGCAGACACUUCCAUCCCCUUCCUUCACAGAUAGGGAGUGGUUCCAAGAGGUUAGGUCACUUUUCCAGGGUCACAGAGCAAGUAGGCGUCAGGGCUGGGGUUUGGACCCAUGCCGCGUCCGGCCAAAGGAGCCGAGUCCGGCGAGGGACGGCGAGGUUAAAAGACACAGGACACCAGGGUUCUUCAUCCAGGAGAGAGAGAUUUUAUUUUUCCCCCCCUUUAUAUAUCCUCCCACACUCAGGGUUAAGCACACACACACACACUCUAUUCUGCAGGAAGCGGUCUCGGGCAGCCUUAAGCAAACUAGGUCAGGUUUUGCAGGUCGGUCAUGCAAGGCCCAGCUGGGCCAACUAAUCAGCAAGUACAAUCUGUCCCAGGCUCUCAUGAGGGCAGAUAAACAGGAAGCCCACAAGGCUGACAGGAAGCCCACAGGGCUGAUUCACGCUUCAGUGGUACUCGCCUCCACAUGCGGAACAAGGAACAGGAAACUUAUUCCUGUUCCAGGGCCAGGGGCUUCACCACAGACCCAGGCCCUCUGCCUCUGGAAUCUUAGUUACCUGCUCUGAAGGCCUAAUUCUGAGCUGUGAUUCCAGCUGUUGGCCGCCUCCCCCAGGAAGCGGCCCUCCUCUUCCCCCUGUAGAAGGGAGCGGCACUCAGCCAGGACGCCUGUCCACCAGAACUCCCAGCACAAGCUAGGACUCUCCUGUCCCCACUGGGGGAAAGGCUCCUUCCAGAAUGACAAGGUCAUGGUGACAUCCCCCAGAGAUGCUGAGCCCUGUGCCUGAAUGUGGCCUUAUUUGGAUACAGGGUCUUUGCGGAGGAUCAAGCUAAGGUGGUUCUUAAUCCAAUAAGACUGUGUCCUUAUAGUGGGAGAGGCUGGAAGGAGGAGGCUGGCAUGGUGGAGGCCUAGAAGAUUCUUCCCCUCCACCUUAGCAGGAACCAACCCUGUGACAUCCUUGGACCUGCAGAACCCAGCCACGGGGUUCUGCAGCCACCUGAUCCUUGGUACGUCCUUACAGCAGCCCCAGGAGUUCAACAGACCGUGCAACAAGGUGAGUCAACCAGCCACCAACCCAAGUGCUCUGCAGACCUGCCUGGGCCUGGCACCACACAGUCCCGAGGAGCCACCAACUCACCUGAGGCAGAGAAGCCACAGCCUGCAGACCCCAGGUAGGAGGAGAAGCCCGGCCAGGGCUGACGGCUAAGCAGGAAGGACCCCAGAAUUUCAGCCAUGGACCUCUAACACCUGGAACCCCAGGAAGGAUGCCCCUGUCCCCUGCCCCAAGGGGAUGAUCCCUGAGUAGCAGAGACCAAGGGAGGGGCCCAGCCUGGGAAGAGAAGCUGCCCAAACAGCAAGACUGAGGCUCGAGCCCUGUGCCGGGUGCUCACGGGGGGCAGAACGGUUGGUGUAGAGUCCUCCUGAAUGGAGGCGGCUUUCUGCACGGGAUGCAUGUGCACCUCUCCCACAAUGGCAACAGAUUUUUGUUAUUAAGAGAGAAAGCGCUCAGAGCUGAAGGAGCAUGAAUAUUUGCAAAUUCCACGCAGAUUCCACUUUCUUUAAGCUCCUUAAAGAGCCAUUCGGCAGAAGGAGCAUCCAAUUAGGGUGAUUGUUCCCUUCUCCAUUCCAGGAGCAAGAGCUCCCUCCUUCGUCACCACACAGGCCUGAGCUGGGGCACCCUGAGCCUGGACCCAACCCUGCUGGCGUGAGGCUCCAGAAUCCCUGUACGCCCCUGCGGCAGGGGAACAGAGGUGGGUACACAGACCUGAAGGGCUGGGCCCUGCUCACAGCAUGUGGGAGGCCAGGUGGCUCACACAUCAAAAAACUGGAGACAGCAAAUGUCCCUAGAAUUCAUAAGGUGGGGCCACUGCCCUGGGCCUCAGGAAGCAGUGUCCUAAACUCUGAACUGCGUGAACCGCCCCAGAGGACUGGAGGGAGGACCUGCUGCCAGGGAAGGCUGUUCUUGCUGUUCCCGGAGGGGGACCGACAGCCCUCCCCUGGGGCCAGGAAAUAGUCCCUACACCUACAUCCUGAGCCCUUUGCAUCAAACACAAACUGCUGUGUCCUUUGACUGUGUCCCAAUCGAUCUGCUGCCAGGCAGCCUGUUUGUGGGGCCCUGCAAGAUGCGUGGACAAGAUGCGGAGAAGCCAGCAGGAUUCUGAAUUUGAGGUUCUAAUCAGAUGAUGGAAAGAAAAGCUGACACUGAUUGAAAAGUUUCUGUUUGGAUUCGGUUUGCCAUCUGACCACACAGCAAGCCUGGAGGUGUCAUUAAGAAAGAAAGCGCUCAGAGCUGAAGGAGCAUGAAUAUUUGCAAAUUCCACGCAGAUUCCACUUUCUCUAAGCUCCUUAAAGAGCCAUUGGGCAGAAGGAGUGUUCAAUUACAGCGAUUGUUCACACCCAUGUUCCCCAAAAGGAAUGGCGUCAUUUUCUCAAGUUCACAGGGGUCUGGCCAGGAGGCAACCCUGGAGUCUCCAUACAGUCUCCCAAGUCCUGAGCCUGCCCCCAACUCAUGGUGGAGCCACCCCCACCCUGGCAGCCCCAGCUGCAACUGGGAAGCAGUUGGUGACACCAUGGAACUGAAAUGCAUAGAGUUCAGCCAGACCCAGAACCUCCAUUUCACAGGGGAGCCGGCUGAGGCCAGGGGGGCGAGACCACAGGCCAAGUCAGCAGAGGCCAAGCCUGGCCUGCUCCCUCCCUGCACAGCUAAGCAAGACAGACACGCUGCCAGGAAAUCCUGCCUCUCACUGAACACCGGGGUGACUGAGCCAAUGGACGCUAGCCCAGCUUGCCGGGGGUCCUAGUGAUGUGUCCGUGGGUGUGGGCCCCCAGCACAAGUCCUGCAAGGGAACCGAGCCCUGUCCAAGGGAGGACACAGCCAGAGCACCCUGGAUGCUAAGCCAAGGGUCUGAUUGGCCUUUGGUUUUUCUUAAACAGGACCCUGCAGCAGGAGCUACCAGGGGCCACACCAGCCACUCCCUGAAGGAGGGUUUGGACAGCUGGAGGGUGACUCCCUGGAACAGCAGAUGCCAUCCUGAUGGGGACUCUGUGCACUGAGUUGCAAACUUGCCAGGAUCUUCCCCCACUGGCUCAUAGCCUCCGCUCCCAGGGACAAUUUCAUACAGCAUAAAAGCUGCCCCCAAAAGAUGACUGGCCAGAGAUGCAGAGGAGCAGGCAGGAGAGGCUCCCCCCACCCUGCCAAGAACAUCGUGUUCUCCACGCAGUUUUGAGCCCAAUUUCAGGCUUGGCACUGUCUCUAGGAAACUCCAAAGAGAAAAAGACAAGAAUCGUGGGCUCAGCCUCUCAGGUCCCCUGCCCAAGGCAGCCACCUCAAACCCAGCUUGUCACAAAAGUGCCUGUGGAGCUUCUCAAGUAUCAGACUAACAAAAAGGAAGGAAAUCCGGUCCCCUCCUGCACAUGGGGGGGACACUCGCUAAGUGAGAGAAACCAGCACCACAGUGUUCUCCCCCCAACAAAGGAGCCCACAGAGGAGAGAGGCCUGGCCGGAGGCCGGGAGGGAGGCCCAGCAGAGGGUGGACGUCAGGGAAAGUAGUGGGAAGGAGGAACGGGGCCUAGGGUUCUGCAGCCGGGUGGGGACUGUGGUUCACACCUUGUGAUCCCCUUCAUGAAGAUUCAGAGCCAGGAGCCAGGACCUCCCAACACAAAGAACUUGUACCUGAUGAAAGAGAUGCAAAGUCUAGCUGCCCUGUAGGUGUGUGUCAAUUCCACACUGCACCCUGUAAGCAGGUGAUUCCUGGGCCUCAGCUGAAAUCUUUGAAUUUUUUUCAAAUCUUACAAAGCAUCGGCCACUUUGCAGGCCACUCCUUCCAUGUCUGUGUCUUCAUUUUUUACAUAAAAAUAGUUUCAUGCCCCUAAAUCCCAGAGAAAAAUGGAUGCCACAGGAGAGGCUUCUUACUCAAAGGGAAAUGAAUGUAGAGGAAGACACCCCUCCCCACCCAACCUCGUCCUCGGUCAGCGGUCAGCAUGUGGACGCAGGUGCCAGAGGCAGCCUCUCAUCUCUGGGUAUCAGAGUCUGUCUGCCUGAGCUCAAGGCUGGGCUCUGCUGCCCUCUUGGGUGAAUGAUUUUGAGGAAAUUAAAUGACUUCUCCGAGCCUCCGUUUAUCUAAGAUAGGGACACCAACAGUGCCCACUUUGGUGACAGCAGGGACUGUCAGCAUGUUUCAUGCAGGGAAAACGCUCAGACUCGUGCUGUGCCCAGUAAGAACUCAGGGAGUUUCACAGGAAGGGUCAGCCUGUGACGACCCCCGUGGUGGAGUCAGGCUGGCGUGGGGAGGCACCCGGGGGGCUUCCCUGCAGGGUCCUGGCAGGAAAGGUGCCCGGGCCCUGCGGAUCCGCCACCAAAGCCAAACCUGCUGGGGUGGCAGGAGAGGAGAGCCUGGGCUGCCCAGGCUGGUUCCCCGCGGCCCGGCUCCCCACCCCGCCCGUCCCCGGCAGCCAGCUCUUCUGAAGCUGGGAUUUCACACCAGAAGAGCUUUCAACAUGAGUGGCUGGAAGCAUCCCUCUCUCAGCAAGAGCGUGCCAUCGCCAGGCUGCGCCUCUCCCCUUGAGGCUCUCCCCGGCUGGGCUGAAGGAGACUUCAAACCAUCUCUGAGCACACAGCCUCCCGUCGAGGGCACAGCCCACUCCACACAGCGCUGGGGAGAGUGGAGACAGGUCCACACUCCACCUGUGCAAAGGUGCAUCCAGGAGCAAUGGCGGCAAGCGGACGCUCCAGACGUCAGACCCCACAGAGGCCGCGGCGGGCUCUGCCCUGCCUUAGGAGCACCAGGCCCAGCCCAGAAAGGCACCCCAGAACUGGCAGGAGGGUGGCAGGAUCUGGAGUGGGUGAGGGAGAUCCGUGACUUGGGAAGACCCCUAACGCAGCUACAGAGGGGCCCUGGGAGCUGGGACAGCCAUUCCCGCCUUUCUGCGACAGUAGGAGUGGAGAGCACCCUGGGUUGCAGGACAGAACCACCAACCCAGCGCCUUCACACAGACAUGGUCUCUGACGGUUCUGCACUGCAGAAGGCCAGCGUGGUCUCACCGGGCGAAAACCAAGGUGCAGGCAGAGCUCGAGCCCUUGGGGUGCCAGGGGAGGACCCCUGCCCUGCCCUGUCCAGCUGCCUUGGCUGCUGGCCCCACUCUGCCUCCUCGAGGCAGCAGCACAGCCUCUCUGACCCUGUUCUGCCAUCAGCACCGCCCUUCCUCUGCCUCCCUCUUCCACGAUGAGGCCCUGGGGAUCCCUCUGCUCCAGGUGGCCUCCCCGUCGAGGCUGGCUGACAGCAGCCUCAUUCCUGGUGCAGUCUCACACCCCCCUUGCACGUGGCUGGGUCCCUUUGCAGUCUCUAACCCAAGAGCGUAGCCUGGGAAGCUUACAAACAGCCAAGAUGGACUUCCUCACAGUUCCACAGGUUGGAAGCCAAGAUGGGGGCAGGGGCAUUGGUGUCUGGUGAGGGCUGCAUCCUCCAGGGGCAGGAGCCCUGCCACCUCACGGGCAGAGGCAGAAGGGCAAGAAUCCCCGCCCUUUCUGGGGGCUCCUAGCCAGACUCAGAGGGGAGGAGCCCUGAGGGCUGACCCCCUGCAGGCCUCCCUCCGCCCAGCCCUGGCACACCUGAAGUUUGGAGAGGCACAUUCAAACCCUAGCACCAUGAACCAGACACGGUCACCCUGGGCAUCAACUGCGACGUCUCUGGGCGCCAAUAUUCUUCCUGCCAGUGUCCAGUGGCGCCGAUGAGUGACAAGAGCAGUAAACACUCAGGUAGCGUCAUUGCCCGCCAGGAGCUGUGCCCCGGGACUUAGAUACAUCUGCGGAGUCCUCUCACUGGCCCUGCACAGGGUGAGCACAGUCUUCCCCUCAUGUGCAAGGGAGCAGAGGCUCUGGAGACCAGAGAGUUUCUCCGUGGUCACUGGGUGCUGGCAUCAAGCCCAGGACCCACCCUGUGCAGCUGCCCUUCACCCCAGGUGCUGAGGAGCAAGCAGCACUCAGGAGCCGAGGCUCAGCGCUGAGUCCAGCCUGAGCCAACCACAGCCCACGCGGAAACGCGCCUGGCUUGUCCUUGGGUCCUUGGAGAGCCGGAACAGGCUCAGUGACAAGCACCUGCCCCAUGGUGGGGGGCCAGGAAAACCUACACACCCCAGAAGACAGACACCCCACACCUAGGCAGCAGGAGGCGGGAGCCAGCUGCCAGGAAGCCGUGAUCAUCUAUCUCCCCGCAGAGCAGCCCCAGGCUCUGCACCGCAGGGCGGGGACAUCGCACUUCAGGUGGCGGCUCUGGAGGCGGCUCCGCCACACACUUGUCACUGCUCCAGGCCAACUGCUAAAAUAACUUUUGGGUUGUUAUUACCAAGUAAUGGAUGUUUAUUGCAGGAACGUUAGAAACUGCAGACGAGCCAGGAGAAGGGAAGGAGGGCCACCCGAACCCCACGGCGGCAGAAGUGCCGCCUGGCGCGGUCCACGGCUCCUUGCAGCGAUUUCCUGGUUUGUUUUUCCAAAGCGAGCUCUGACAGUGGGCGGGCGCUUCCUCACGUUGGCAAGAACGCCUCCUCCCCAACUCCUCACGUGUAUGGGGGGACGGCGCCCACCGUCCCCUGCCUCAGCUCCCCGGGGAAUGGGGAGUGGGCGGGGCUGGAACCCGGGUCCAGUGUGGCUGCAUCCCCUGGUGGCCCAGGUGGCAUGUCUGGAGCUCACACAGGAACACACACAGGCACACACCAGGAGGCAGUGUGCAAACCAGGCUCGCAUGCAUGACACGCAUGUACACGCACGUGCAUACGUGUGUAGUGCUCGUAUCUGUACCCACAGACAUGUGCACACGCAAAGACACACACACCUGGCUCCUCCUCUCCCCGAUGGCAGGCUCCUGCCAGCUGCCCUGGGGCUUGCACCCCUCCACCUGCCACUCAUGGGUGGCCUGGGCAGCCUGGACACGGACAGAUAUGACAUUGAAGGGGGAAAAGAGGCCUCCUGUGGUCCUAGGCUAGGCCCUCCUUCCCCUGCUCGCUGACCCCACCUCAGUGGACCACAGGCCCAGGUCCAGCCAUGGAUACUCUGAGCCCUGCCCCGUGCACACUCCUCCAUGGGUGCAGUGUCCUGCUGAGGCCACCUACAAGCCCAGCUUCUGUCUGGUGAGAACUCCCUCCUGAGGCCCUCAUCCCCCUCCUGUGGGAAGCUGCACCCUGUAUGUGGGGGAGCCACGCCACCCAUGGACAACAGAUGGUCUCCAGCUGUCCCCUGAGUACAAGCCACACUGAUCAAGGCUGAAGACAGAGCACAGGAGUCCAGCCAGGAAGGACCAGGCCCAGCCCUGGAGGGCCAGGGCACCUGGAGCAGUGAUGGAGGAGCAAGGAGACGGUGGAUGGGGCCAGUAACGUGGGGACCAUGGAUUAGCAAAGAGCAGACUUCCGGAAUCUUACUUAAGGGCGUGAAGAGCCACCGAGAGUUUCUAAAAUGAUGGCCUAGCCAUGGUGGAGGGGUGAGGUGCUGUGGGGACUUUCCAGCUCACGUGUUAACUUUGCCUCGCGGAGCUCCCAAUACCUGACAAGUACAGCUUAGGGGAGGGAAAGUUGAAUUGGGGCUCACAGUCUCAGAGGUUCAGUCCCUAGAUGGCCAACUCCAUUCCUCUGGGCCCAGGGUGAGGCAGCACAGUUUGGCGGAGGGAGUGGAGGAGAACAACUCGGGACAUGGCAACGGGAACCAGAGAGAGCAAGUUCCAUUCACCGAGGACAAAAUAUCAACCCUGUGACCCUCCUCCAGCCAAACCCUACCUACUUAGCUAGCACCCAGUUAACCCACCAGUGGAUUACCCCACUGAUCAGGUUACAGCUUUCAUAACCCAAUCAUUUCACCUCCGAAAAUUCUUGCAGUGUCUCACAGUGAGCUCUUGGGCGACCCAUCCUGUCUAAACCAUAACACACACGUGACCAGUUCCCUGCAGUGGUAGCAGCUGGCAGAACGUCAGUAGCACAACCAGGAUACAGACUCUGACACAGUCAAGGCCCAGGACACCAUGUCACCACAGGGACCCCUUCUGCCACUCCCUUAUAGCCACGCCCACUUUUCUGUCAUGCCCACAUCCCCCAGAACAUCCGGCAAUCUCAGACCCAUUCCCCAGCUCCAUCAUCUUGUCAUUCCAAGAAGGUGACCUCAGUGGACCCCUGCAGUGUGGCACCUUUGAGGACUGGCUUCUUUCACUCUGUGAUACUCCUUGGAGAUGCAUCCAGUUGUCUCGCACUUUAACAGUUUUAUUACUGGGCAGUAUCCCAGCCUGGGUUGCCACACUUUGCCUAGCCACAGACAGUCAAGGACAUCGGGGAAUUGGAGGUUUGGGCUAUUACAAAGAAAGCUGCUAUAGAAUCUGGGGGGGUGGGGUUCUGUGCGAACAUUGGUCUUCAUUUCUCUGGGAUAAACGUCCAGCAGUACAACUGCCGGGUUGUAUGUAGUCAUGUGUUCAGCUUUCCAAGACACUGCCAGACCCUUUUCCAGAAUGGCUGCGCUAUUUUUACACUCCUACCAGCAGUGUCUGAGAGAUCCAGUUGAGCACCUUCUUGCCAGAAUUGGGUUAUGUCAUCUUUUACAUUUUUAACCACUCUGGAAGAAGGGUAGGGACAUCUCGUUUACCGUGCUUUCCCUAAUGGAUGGCCAAGUCAAGCAACUUUUCAAGUGCUUAUUUGACAUUUUUAUUUCUUCUUUGAGGAAAUGUCUGUCUUUUACCCAUGUUCUAAUUGAACAGUUAUCUUUUUAUUGUUGAGUUCUGAGAGUUCUUUAUAUAUUCUAGAUACUAGUUCUUUGUUAGUUGCUCUCUCCCAUCCUUCUGACAGGUCUUUCAGAGGUGGGAUUGAUUUUGAGGAAGUACAACUUCUCAAUUCUACUUUAGAACGUCUAUGGAUUGUACUUCUUGGUGUCAGGUCUAAGAACCCUGCCUGGCCCUAUAUCCCAAAGAUCUUCCCCUCUGUGUUUUUUUCCCAAGUUUUAUAGCUUUAUAUAUUGCAUUUAAGUCCCUGAUCCAUUCAGUUCAUCUUUGUAUAAGGUGUGAGAUUUAGUCAAGAUUCAAUAUUCAAUAUUUCACCUAUGGAUAUACCAUUGCUCCAGUACCAUCUUUAUUCCACUAAAUUCUUUUUGUACCUUUGUUAAAAAUUAGUUGGGUGCAUUUGUGGGGGUCUGUUUCUAGGUUCUCUCUUCUGUUGCAACAAUCUAUGGGUCUUUCCCCGCACCAUAGUAACACAGUCUUGACGAUGAUAGCUGUAUAAUAAUUCUUCAACGCAGACCGAUUCCUUUCAUUUUAUUCUUUUUCAACUAUGUUUCAGCUACUCUAGUCCUAUUUUUUUCAAAUAAAUUUUAGAAUGAUCUUGGUUUUCGCUACAAAACAUUUUUUAACUGGGAUUUCAACAAUUGUGUUAAACCAGUGUAUACAUUUAGGGAGAGAUUUGGUAUCUUUACCACAUGGAGUCUUCCACUCCAUGAACAUGGUAUGCCUCUCCAUUUACAGAUCUUUUAUUUAUUUCACCGUAAUUGUGUAGUGCUGUGUUUGUCUAUCUACUAAAGGUUUUUGCUUUGUGCUUACCUUAAGGCUUAUAUAAGAAUUUUAUACCAACAUCAGGAUAUUUUAAAUGAUGAUGACUUAAAUUUGAUCACUUGAACAAAUUCUAUACUUUUACUCAGUUUGAUGACACAUUUUGUAUGUUUUAUAACUUGUGUCCCUUAACAAAUUAUCAUAGCUGUCGUUAUUGAAAUUUUUAAAUUUUUGUGUCCAUAUGUUCUUUCCUAGUAUAUUGGAAUACAAUUGAUUCUUUUUAUGUUUGUCUUUUAUUCUGCAACCCUGCCAAACUCAUAUACUACUUUCAGAAGUUUUUUGUAAAAUCCCUUAAAUAGCCUACAUAGUUAUUGAAAUUUUUUUUUAAAUUUUUGUGUCCAUAUGUUCUUUCCGAGAAUAUUGGAAUACAAUUGAUUCUUUUUAUGUUUGUCUUCCUGCAACCCUGCCAAAUUCAUAUACUACUUCCAGAAGUUUUUUGUAAAAUCACUUAAAUAGCCUACAUUGAAAGUAUCAUCUGCAAAUACAGAGAGCUUAAUUUCUUCCUUUUUAAUCUGUAUAUCUUUUUAUCUCUUUUCUGGCCUUAUUGCCCUAGCUAGAACUACCAGCACUAGGUUGGAUAAGAAGGGUGGGCUGGGCAUGGUGGCACAUGCCUGUAAUCCCAGUUACUCAAGAGGCUGAGGCAGGAGGAUGGCAAGUUCAAGACCAGCCUGGGCAAACCGAGUGAGGCCCUAAGCAACUUAGUUAGACCAUGUCUAAAAAUAAAAUGGAAUAAAAACAUGCCUGGGGAUGUGGCUCAAUGAUAAAUCACCCCUAGGUUAAGUCCUUAGUGCCAAAAAAGGAUAAGGAGAACAAGAAGAAAAAAACAAUAAGAAGAAUGAGAGUGGACAUUUUUGCCUUGCUCUUGAUCUUGUGGGGAAAGCAUUGCCAUUCUCAUUAAGUGCAGGGUUAGUUGUAGACGAUGAAAUUCUCUUGUAUUGUUAUUUUUCUAAGUUUUUAUUAUAAAUGAGUGUAGAAUCAUACCAAGUACUUUUUUCUACAUCAACUAAUAAAAUGAUGUGGGUUUUUUUUUCCUUCUUAGCCUGUUAAUGUGGUGAGUUAUAAUGACUGGUUUUCAAAUAUUGAAUAAGUUUCCAUUCCUAGAUGGCCUUGGAUAUGGUGUAUAAUUUUUUAUAUAUAUCGCUAAAUUUUAUUUGCUAAAAUUUUGUUGAAGGAUAUGUCAUCUAUAUUCACAAAGUAAAUUGAUCCACUGUUUCCUCCUCCUCCUCCUCCUCCUCCUCCUCCUCCUCCUCCUCCUCCUCCUUCUUUCUCUCUCUCUAUCUCUCUCUCUCUCUCUCUCUCUCUCUCUCUCUCACAUUGAUCCUAUCUUUGGUUUAGAUAUCAAGAUAAUAAUAGUCCCAUAUAAUAAAUUUGGAAGUAUUUUUCCUCCUAUUUUCUGAAACACACUGGUAGGAUUGGAGUCCAUGUUCCUUUAAAUAUUGGGCAGAAUUCUACACUGAAAGCUAGCUUCUGGGCCUGGGGAUUUCUUUUUUCAGAGUUUUUAAAUUGCAAAUUAAAUUUCUUAAUAGCUAUAGAGCUAUUCAAAUUAUGUAUUUAGUUUUGGGUGAGCCGUGGUAGUUUUGCUUUGCAGGAAGUAAUCCAUUUUCUCUGAGUCAUCCAACCUGUGUGCUCAGGAUUGUUGGUGAUUGUUCUCUCGUUGUCCUCUUGAUAUCUGUGAGGUCUGUUGGGUCUUCCUGUUUCAUUCCUCCUACUUGCACCUCUUUUGCUGUAUCUGUCUUCCUAAGGCGCGUCAAUUCUAUUGAUCUUCUCAAAGACUGGCCCUUUGUGUCACUAACAUUCUCUCUUGUUUCUUGGUUUGCAUUUUCAUUGAUUUCAUUUAUCUUUAUCUUUAUUGUUUCUUUUCUUUUGCUUACAUAGUACAUUGUGAUCUUUUUCUGAAUUCUUGAAGCGGGAGUUUAGACUAUUGAUUUGAGAAUUUGCAUAUAUAUGCACUCUGUGCUAUAUAUAUGUCUCUGCACACUGUUUUAGUAGUGUGGAUAUGUUGUGUUUUCACUUUUUAACUUUUAAUUUCCUUGAGACACAUUCUUUGACCCAUGGAUUAUGUAGAAGUGCUUUGUUUAAUUAAUCUCCAGUUUGGAGAUUAAUUGGUCAUCUGUUACUGGUCUCGAGUUUAACUCCAUUUGUGGUUGGAGAGCAUACAUUGUGUGAUUUUGAUUUAUAAAGGUUUUUUCAUAUUUAUUCUGUGGCCCAAGGGUAUAUUGGUACACACUACAUGGACUCAAAAAGAAAGUGCAUUCUGCUGUUGUUGAAUAUAUAUAUAUAUAUAUAUAAUUCCUUGGGUUGGUGGUGGUGGUGGUGAGUUCUUCCAUUUUCUUACUGAUUUUCUCUCUAGUUCUUUUACCCAUUGAGAGACCCAGAAAGAGAGGUACUGAAGCCUCCAGUGGUAAUCAUGCAUUCGCCUACUUCUCCUUUGAGUUCUACCAGGUUUUGCUUUUUCAUCUUGAGGCUUUGUUGUUUGGUGCAUACACAUUCAGGACUGCUGUUUCCUGGUGGAUGUCACUGCAUGCGCUCUCUUCUCUCUCUGGUAACUUUCUUUGCUCUCAAGUCUACUUUAUUUGAUAUUAAUAAGCUGCCCUGUUUUUAUUUAGUUAAUAUUGGCAUGACACAUCUUUAUUCAUCCAUUUACCUUGAGCCUGCUUAUACACUUAUGUGUGAAGAGCAUUUUUUGGAGACCACACACAGUUGGGACAUGUUUUUAACACACUCUGCUGAUUUCUCUCUUUUAGUUGCUACACUUAGACCUUUUGCACGAGAUGUAAUGGUUGAUAGAUUAAGGGUCACGCCUGUCAUGGUGUUUUAUUUUCUGUUUUCUGUUUUUCUUUAAAGCUGUUUUCUUUCUCCCAUCUUUUUGUUGUUCUAACUGGAAAUGUUUUAUAAUUUCAAUCAUUUAUAGUGUUUUCUUAGCACAUUUCUUCACUCCACAUUGCUGUGGCUCUUCUAGACGUCACAUUAUACAUAAGACACACUGAGUGACAGUGAGUGGUGUUGUCAUCUCACCAUCUGAGUGAGGAAUCCCAACCCUGCCCCUCUCUGCACCUCGCCCUCCCUGUUUGUAGGAUUGUGGCAGGUCUGCAAGGCAGUGGUCCGUGGACCACCAACAUCACGUGGAAACCUCGAGAGGAGCAGGAGGGAAGCCCACUGUAAUGACCCGUGGUCCUCCUUACCUUGCUCUCUCUCCCUUCCCACUGGCCCAAGAGCCCGCUAAGCCUUUUAUUUCAGUUAAUGUAUUUAUUUUUCCACACCGUUUCCCCCUUAUCUUCCUUCCCUUUGCUGAGGACUUCUAUUGUCACAUUUUUCAAGGGUGUUCAUGGCUGCCCAUGAAGCAUUUUGAUCACGGCCACUUUAAAACCGCUGUCAUUCAUUCCAACACCCCUGUCAUCUCCCCGUUGGCACGGAUUGAUGGCAGUUUUUCAUUCAGUUUGAGAUGUCCCUGGAUCUUGGUGUGAUGGGUGGUUUCUUGUUGUUGUUGAGGCCUGGACAUUGCUGUUUUAUGCAUCUUGUUUCAGAUGGCCCUCUGCCUGCUCCAGCAGUGGGAGGGAGCGGGGUACUGCCCCAUCACUGCGUGUGGACAUUCCCCAGUCACCUCCCUGACACACUGCGGGCAGGAGAGAAAGCUCCGGCUCUUCCUGGGGUCUCCACAAUGCACUGUUGGACUGGCCUUUUAUGGCUAGGCAGUGGUGAAAGCCCAGCCUCUACAUUGGGCCUCCUCGGAUUCACCCUAGAAAGGAAAGGGAGAGCACCCUUCCAGGUGGGGAUGGAAGUCCCCACGUGGUCACACUGAUGCCAAAGGAAAAGAGGACUUUAUUCCUCGCUGGUCUGGGUGACAGCCUCGGAUCUCUACCUGGCCUCCUCCCACACCACCUGGCAGGGGCUGGAGCCCCCUCCGUGAUCUUUUGAGGCAUUGCUCUCCAAGGCAGCUCGGUGUCCUCUUGUCUGCAGUCACAUGGAGGCUGGAGUUCUCCCAGGUCAGUCUUGAGCUGGGCCAGUGACUGACGCCCACCGUACAUUCAAAGGAACAGUGGCCCUCUCCUUCUGCUGGUGUGUGUGAGGGCUAGGGAGACUCAAUCUAAAGCAGACUUCAUUCUAAGUGUGCAGGAAAUGAGGCCCAAAGACUCAAGAGAGAGCACAGUAGGGAGGGGAAUGUUCUAGGCGUGCAGAGAAUAAAAAGCUACCACAAGAACCCAGAGCCGGCGUCUGCUCCCGUCCUCCUGCGCCCUGAGCAAGAUUCACACUGGGUCCUCACAAUGAAGCACAGUCCUCAGAGGACGUCACCGGAAGCCAGGACUCACAGCAUGUCAUGGAUGACGUGGCACCGUCUAGUGCCAGCCCUGGGGCCGAGGUGCUGGGAAUCACAGAGGUGAGAAGACCCGCGGUGCCCCACUGCAAACAGGCCCAGAGCCGCGGUGGCACCGUGAGUCACCCUGGCCUGGCUGCUCUUCUCCCAGCAGGAGUGAUGGAAUUAAUCAGGAAUGGCGCACUUGACCCUGAAGAAACAGGAAGGGACGGAGCCCAGAGACUGGAGAAUCUUCGCACUUAUUGGGCAGGGGACAAAUGAAUGGCACUUUCUAUUAUUGUAAAUCCUCAUUAACAAAACUGUCCCUCGGGGGGGCCCAGAAACGUUGCUGUUCACUUUUAAAUCGAUGUGUUUUACCACAUAGAUGCUGGCACAAAACGCGUGGUGUCCUGCCCUUUGUGCCUGGAGAGGACACUGCAGGCCCUCCUUGUCCACUCCUUCGUCCCUGGGGCUUGACAUCCAAGCCGAGGCCCAGAGAAGGAGGGAGAGGAAGGAGCAGGGUGUGGGAUUCCCAGAGGCCUUUGCAUAGGGAAGGGGCGGGGCUGCCUGGCCCUGCAAGGUUCCACUCCUCCUGCAGGGAACUGGCUGGACCAGCCAGUACAGAGGAGGGGCAGAGCCCUAGCUCCCCCACUUCCCCUCCCCCCUCAGGGGUCAGAGAUUCCCCAUUCCCAGGAGCAUCAGUGACCAGUGGGCUGGGCUGGCAGCGGCAGGACAUCCCCCUGUGGACCCUGGUGAGCCUCAGCCUGAGCCGCAGGCUCCUAACCUGCUCAGGGCAUCAUAACAACCCCACUGCCUGUUCACGCUGCCGUGAAGGUCACCCUGACCGCUGUCCCUCCCGCCCAUGCCUCUGCUAACAUCAGCUCGUUGAGAGGCUGUCCCGCUACCGGCUAGGCCUGCACACUCCUCUCUCCUGACCACCUUGGCUCUCCUCCUGACACUGUCCCGGAGACAGGAAGGCGGACCUGUGUCCCACACAUGCAGCAGGGGAAGUAGCAGACGUCACCAGCUGAGGUGCUAAGGCCCCUGGACCACCCCACAAACCCUCCCUUGAGCCAGGAGGACUCAAAUGCAAACCAUCAGGAACAGCUGGGUCAGAACAGAUGGCUCUGACCACACCUGUGCUCCCUCCUGCUCCCCAUCCUCUAAAUCACAGCCUCGGGCUCCUUGGGAGAGGCCUGGGCCAGUGAGUGGCUUUGUCCCAGCCUGACAAGGACACAGCCUGGAGGUCAGUUGGCGUCCACUGAGCAGGAGAAUGGUCAGAUGAGGCGGCCACAGUCCGGCUUGGAGGCUGCUGCAUGCCCCUCCCCCACUUCAUAUCCCCAUCCACAAAAGUGGCUUGAGGGAGAGGAGAGAAGGUGCAGAGGCAGAGGGUCAGUGGCCAUGCACUGUCCCCUUACCCACACCAGCAAAGCCCCCUGCAACCUACCCUUCACCCCAGGCAAGAGCCAGCAGCUUUAUAACAAGAAAAGAUAGAGGGGACACAGGCUCUGACUGAGCAGAAC
rnacentral:lncRNA from 1 species